AAUAAAUGUGUUUAGGAAAUAAUCAAAUGGAAAUUUAGCUAAAUGCAUUAUUGGAGGAACAAAACUUCGGAGAAUGAUAGGUUGUCGAAUGUUACUUAUGUUAUUACAUAUUUUACUCGACGGAAAGUACUGGACUGUUAAAUCCUAGAACUCUUAGAAUUCAAGAAGAGAUCAUAGAGCAAUCUUUAUUUAUUUUUUGGAUUUUAAAUUCAUGCGCAUUGAUCAGUGCUUACACAUACGAAGGUUAAAGCAGCUUGGUAUUUUUUUUUUACAAUUUAAAUAUACAUAUCUAAAAUACUCCACAAACAGUGGUUCAGUACAAAGUGUAUGUUUUUUAAAAUCAGCAGUACUAAGUAUAAAAUUUGUUUUUCAGUAGUACAGUUAACCUCAUAAAACGUGUUACAUUUCUUACAUCGUACUGAUAUAAAAUAAAAUAAACGUACACUUAAAUACAAUUGCGACUGUAAUGAAUUAGGGGUCAUGUUUCUGACCACAACUAGUCGAAUGUUUUUUUCUGAGAUAUUUUUUUUAUAUUUUACUUUUAUUUUACAACAAAAGUAAUAAUUUUCCAAUACUAUGUUACUCGUUACACUUUAGCAAAUUCGUCUCCAUUAAGUAAUAAAUUGAGAAUCUAACUCAGUUUUAUUUUAACUAUACCUCAAAAAUUACAAUAAUGAAUUGACGAUUUGUAAAGGAUAAACGUUGUACAGAUGUAGUGCAUAAUUAUUAUCCAUCGUAUUUUCACGAAAACGUACGAACGUGUCUUGUUAUAUCAAUCAGUUUCGGUACCUUCAAAAAGUAGGUUUAUGCGUCGUUGGACUAAAAGUAAAUAUGGCGAUGUAUAAAAAUGUCUACAUAUAAAAUAAAAAUUGGUCCGAGUAUUAGAAAGCCAAUACUUCAAAAUGUUUAAGUCUUAUCAAGUCGGAAUAUAAAAAUGACUACUUUCAAAGUAUACAAAUGUCUAAGUCUUAUCAAUGCCGCAACAUAUUUAUAUUUGGUCUAAUGUACAGAUGCACAUUUUUAUACUUCGUCGAAAUUAUAUACGCACGAACUUAUGCAAGUAGACAUUUUUAUACAUCGCCAUAUUUACUUUUAGUCCAACGACGCAUAAACCAAAAAGUACAGAGUUUGACUGAAGUAGCAUGACAAAUACGAACGUUUCCAAGAAUAUAAGAUGGAUAAUAAUUAUGCACUACAUCUGUGUCGACAUACAUAUAUUUAGGAAUCAAUAGUUCGGGAUUACCUGCGUAAGUAUAAUAAAACAAGUAAAUUAUUUGACUAUUAGAAUACUAGCCCAAGUUUUAAUCGAAUCACAUAUACCGCAAAAAACUGAUUUGUAAAGUGUUUAUUUAGUGGACGUCCUAUAGUAUAAUAUAAGCAAAUUUCUAGUUAAACAACAACAUUGAGUAGGCGAAAUCAAAUAUAUUAUGUCAACUUCGCUUAAUAAUUUAUUUUUAUUACUUGAAAAUGAGAAUAUUAUGUGUAAAAAAAUGUUUAUUUUUGUAGCUUUUUUGUACAUUAUUUUAUUUUUGUAUAAAACACGAUAAUACAUUUAAUACAUGCGUAUAUAACAUUAAGUAACAUGCUUAAACUAUUGCUUGUAUUGUACUAUAGCUGUCGGUCUAGUUUUAGUGUAAGGAUUUGUUAAACUUUGUCUAUGGCUUGCCUGUUUAUUUCGAUCCUUGGUCAUAGCUCAUAGUACAAAAUGUGUUAUUCAAUAUAUGAAUAUUUGGUUAC